rfam:Bacillus sp. FJAT-18017 genome.
GUUGGGAAGAAGAAGCACCCGCUUCUCACCUAGCUGACGCACUCGGCUGUUGGCAGGUUUUACGUUAUGGUUUGGUUCAAACCUUAUUUAUGUACGUAAGUGUGGGUGUAUACAUCCGCACUUUUUUUAUUGU